rnacentral:rRNA from 1 species
GCCUAACACAUGCAAGUCGAACGAGACCUUCGGGUCUAGUGGCGCACGGGUGCGUAACGCGUGGGAAUCUGCCCUUGGGUUCGGAAUAACUCGCCGAAAGGCGUGCUAAUACCGGAUGAUGUCGAAAGACCAAAGAUUUAUCGCCCAGGGAUGAGCCCGCGUAAGAUUAGCUAGUUGGUGAGGUAAAGGCUCACCAAGGCGACGAUCUUUAGCUGGUCUGAGAGGAUGAUCAGCCACACUGGGACUGAGACACGGCCCAGACUCCUACGGGAGGCAGCAGUGGGGAAUAUUGGACAAUGGGCGAAAGCCUGAUCCAGCAAUGCCGCGUGAGUGAUGAAGGCCUUAGGGUUGUAAAGCUCUUUUACCCGGGAUGAUAAUGACAGUACCGGGAGAAUAAGCUCCGGCUAACUCCGUGCCAGCAGCCGCGGUAAUACGGAGGGAGCUAGCGUUGUUCGGAAUUACUGGGCGUAAAGCGCACGUAGGCGGCUUUGUAAGUCAGAGGUGAAAGCCUGGAGCUCAACUCCAGAACUGCCUUUGAGACUGCAUCGCUUGAAUCCAGGAGAGGUGAGUGGAAUUCCGAGUGUAGAGGUGAAAUUCGUAGAUAUUCGGAAGAACACCAGUGGCGAAGGCGGCUCACUGGACUGGUAUUGACGCUGAGGUGCGAAAGCGUGGGGAGCAAACAGG